GUUUUUGAAGGAGUUUUACUGUAUUUUUCAUGUGUGUUACUUAAUUUUUAAGCCAUUUUGGACAUCAACGUAAUCGAUAAUUUUUGGGCAGUUACGAAAAGAAUAAAUGCUUAGUUUUCUUGUUAGUCAUGAUAUUCUAAGGUUAUUUCUGCAAGUAAAAAAAUUAAGAUAUUUUUUAUAUUUUUUGUGUUUUUUUCCCGUUCAUUAUGGGUCAUAUACAUAAUUUGCAGCCAUUUCAGAAAAGAAUUGAAGUUUUAUUCUCUUAUUCGUCAAGAUAUUCUAAGAUCAUUGAUCCAAGUAUCAAUGUAUGAGACAUUUUGUAUUGUUCAUGUGUGCUUUGUGUAUUUAGGCCAUUUUGGGGACAUUUGUGUAGUAUUUUUCCAUUCUAGGGAAGUUACAAAAAAAAGUAAAGUUUUCCUCUUAUUGUUACGAUAUUCUAAGGUCACUGGUGUAAAACAAUUUUUUUGAGAAUCUUUUAUGUAUUUUUUUAUUUUUCGUCCAAUUCAGGCAUUCACUUAUAUUAGGCAAUUUUUGGGCAUUUAUUAAAAGAAGUAACAUUUCUUUCUCCUAUUUUACACGAUUUUCUAAGGCCAUUGGUACAAGUCCAAAAUUUAUUAGGCAUUUAAUUUCUUGUAUUAUUUAUGUGUGUGAUAUUCUGAAGUUGAAAUUUUAUUAAGGCAUUUUUUUAUUGUUUAUGUGUGUUUCUUGAUAUUUCAAUCAUUUUUGGGUAUUUAAGUAAUAUUCGGCCCUUUUUGGACAGUUACAAAAAGAAGUACAAUUUUAUUCACUUAUUAGGCCCGACAUUCGAAGGUUAUUCGAUCAAGCCAAAAAAAUUAUGAGGUAUUUUUUGUGUUAUUUAUGUGUGUUUCUUAAUUCUCCAUCAUUUUGGACAUAUAUGUAAUAUUCGAUAAUUUUUGGGUAGUUACGAGAAGAAGUGAAGUCUUAUGCUGUUAUUCGUCACAAAUUAUAAGGUCAUUAGUGUAUGUAAAAAUAAUUUGAGGUGAUUUUUUGUAUUAUUAUGUGUAUUUAUUAAUUUUUAGUCAAUUUUGGGGCACUUACGCAAUAUUUGUCCAUUUACGAGCAGUUACGAAAAGAAGUAAAGUUUUUUUCUCUUAUUCAGCAAGAUAUUUUAGGGUAAUUGGUGAAAAUCAUAAUUUUUUGAGCCUUUUUUGAGUUUAUGUGCGUUUCUUGAUUUUUGGUCUUUUCAAGGCAUUAACAUAGUAUGCGGUCAUUUUGGGCACUCACGGAAAUAAGUAAAGUUUUGUUCUCUUAUUUGUUAUGAUAUUCUAAGGUCUACAUUUGUGCAAGUAAAAAAUGGGAAAUAGUUGUAUUAUUUAUGUGUGUUUCUUGUUUUUUCGCCCAUUUUGGGCAUUUAUGUUAUAUUCUGCCAUUUUCAGGCAUUUACCAAAAGAAAUAAAGAUUUGUUCUCUUAUUUAUCACGAUAUUCUAAGGUCUUUAAUGCAAGUCAAAAAACAUUUUACACUUUUUUGUAAUGGUUAUAUGUAUCUCUUGAAUUUUUUUUUGGCAAUUUUAGGUUAUUUAAGUAAUAUCCGGUCAUUUUCAAACAGUUUUAAAAAGAAGUAAUGUUUGGUUUCGUCACAACAUUCUAAGGUCAUUUGUUCAAGUUGAAAUAAUUUUGAGGCAAUUUUCACACUGUUCAUGUCUUUUUUUUCAACCAUUGUGGAGCAUUCACGUAAUAUUCAGCUAUUUUCAGUUUGUUAUGAAAAAAAUUGAAGUUUUAUUUUCUUAUUUAUCUCAAUAUUUUAAGAUUAUUGGUGCAAAUAAAAAACAUUUAGCGGUGAUUUUUGUAUUGUUUGUGUGUUUCUUGAUUUUCGGUCAUUUUGGGGUAUUUACGUAAUAACCGGCCAUUUUUCUAGCUGUUACAUAAAAAAUUUAAGUUUUGUUCUCUUAUUUUUCACAAGAUUCUAAGGUCCUUAGUGAAAGUCAAAAAAAAUUGAGGUGUUUCUUCUAUUGUUUAUGUCUGUUUCUUUAUUUUUCGACCACUUUACACAUUUACAUAAUAUUUUGCACCUUAUGGACAAUUAUGAAAAGAAUUAAUGUAUUAUUCUCAUAUUCGUCACAAUAUACUAAGGUCAUUGGUGCAAGUUGAAAUUAUUUUGUAUUGUUUAUAUAUGUUUCUUGAGUUUCGAUCAUUUUGGGGCAAUGCGGUAGUACUGAGCAAUUUUCGAGCAGUUAUGAAAGAAUCUGUCUAAAGAUGAACGCGGAAGUUUUUGAGCAAGAAAUGCAGAAAAGUUACCACCUACAUAGCCUGUGACAGUUCGUCGUGCCUGUGAUGGUGCGUACGUGGCAUCAUAGUGAAGAUGUUGAAGUAAGAUGGGGAAGUCUGACCAAGUGUGGGAUUACGAAGUUCAUGAUGGACUGUCGUAGCCAUGACAGUCCAUCCUGCUGGUUCGUCAUGAUGAUCAAAGAGUAAUCCCAGUACCGAAUUUCCAAGAAGUAUACAUGUUAUGGAAUGGAGACCCUCGACGAAUUUUCGUGCCUUAAACGGUUCGUCAUACCUGUUCGGCGAGGGUAAUGAAGAAAGCAGCUGAAGGAUCUUUAAAGUAUAGGACGACGGAGUCCAUGACGGCUCGUCCUGACCAUGACGGCCCAUCACUAGGCUCGUCGAUCAAGCCGUGUUUUGAAAGAUUUUCAGCAAUUAGAGUCUUUCUUUUAUAAGGUUUUUUUUAUAAAUAGUUUGAAAAAACCUCGUUUUUGGGGUUAGACUCUCUUAUGGUUAAACUCUCUUAUCGUUGGACUCUCUUAUAGUUGUGAGAUUCUCUUUUGUUAUACUCUUUGUUAGUAGACUUUGUGAUUGAUAUAAUUUUAAAGAAUUUUUAGUCUUCGAUUAAUUUCAGUAAUUGAUCCACUUUUUCUGCAACUGAUUGUUGGUGCGUUUGUUGAUUAAUCAAAUGAACUCCUGGAUUUUAUUUUUUCUCAUUGAAGUAAGUGCAUGAAUUCUUAUAUUUUAUAUAGGAAUACUGUGAUUAUGACUAUGGGUAACUAAACUCCAUAACUAGGGUUGUGGGAACCAUAGGCGAAUAAUGUGAGGUAAAACAUAACUAAAAUAACAAUUCUAGAAUAGUGUCUUACAUGUAUUGAUAAUUCUUUCGCUUAGAAGUCUUUUUAACAGAUGGCCAACGUUAGAGCUCGCCUUAAUGCUAAUUGCUGAACCAAGGAGGUAGAUAAUAGGAAAAGAAUUAUCAAGCAUAGAUUUAGUGUAUACUAUCUAACAGGCUAGUAUUGAUUGGCACAAGUUAGUUACUUAGUCUAAUAUCGAAUACGAUGCUUAAUAUGAGGUAAAGGUAAGGGUUAGUAUAGCAACACUCGUAUCCGGACCAAGGUGCAGAGUGAAAUUUUCGAUAUGCCGGACUAAGGAUUUAGAAAUACAUAACUUAUCACUUUGCAUGCAAGGUACUAGAAAAUAAUUGUUAUAGUUAGAAUUAUCAAGUUAGAAACCUGUGGGGAACACUUAAACCCUAGUUACUUUUAUUAAUUGAUUAAACUCCAAGAUUUGAUUCUGUUACUUGGUUACUUUAAUUUAGUUCGUUAUUUUCAUUAAUUUUGAAAUAAAAAAACCCUUUUAUUGUCUUUUGUUUUCUAAGGGAAUAAUUGACUAAAUAAUAGUAAUAAUAGAUUGAAGUUAAGUCGGAACUAUUUUCCUCGUAGAAACGAUUCCAGCCUCAUUAGUUGGGUUGUUUACUUCAUACGACCGCUUUACUUCUUAUUUGAGAAGUAAGUUUGAGCAUUAUCAAAUUUUGGCGCCACUGCUGGG
rnacentral:lncRNA from 1 species